UACGUAGGGUGCAAGCGUUGUCCGGAAUUAUUGGGCGUAAAGAGCUCGUAGGCGGUCUGUCGCGUCGGCUGUGAAAACCCGGAGCUCAACUCCGGGCCUGCAGUCGAUACGGGCAGACUGGAGUUCGGCAGGGGAGACUGGAAUUCCUGGUGUAGCGGUGAAAUGCGCAGAUAUCAGGAGGAACACCGGUGGCGAAGGCGGGUCUCUGGGCCGAUACUGACGCUGAGGAGCGAAAGCGUGGGGAUCAAACAGG
rnacentral:rRNA from 1 species